rnacentral:rRNA from 1 species
UAGGGAAUCUUCGGCAAUGGACGGAAGUCUGACCGAGCAACGCCGCGUGAGUGAAGAAGGUUUUCGGAUCGUAAAGCUCUGCUGUAAGAGAAGAACGAGUGUGAGAGUGGAAAGUUCACACUGUGACGGUAUCUUACCAGAAAGGGACGGCUAACUACGUGCCAGCAGCCGCGGUAAUACGUAGGUCCCGAGCGUUGUCCGGAUUUAUUGGGCGUAAAGCGAGCGCAGGCGGUUAGAUAAGUCUGAAGUUAAAGGCUGUGGCUUAACCAUAGUACGCUUUGGAAACUGUUUAACUUGAGUGCAAGAGGGGAGAGUGGAAUUCCAUGUGUAGCGGUGAAAUGCGUAGAUAUAUGGAGGAACACCGGUGGCGAAAGCGGCUCUCUGGCUUGUAACUGACGCUGAGGCUCGAAAGCGUGGGGAGCAAACAGGAUUAGAUACCCUGGUAGUCCACGCCGUAAACGAUGAGUGCUAGGUGUUAGACCCUUUCCGGGGUUUAGUGCCGCAGCUAACGCAUUAAGCACUCCGCCUGGGGAGUACGACCGCAAGGUUG